rnacentral:tRNA from 1 species
CGCCGGGCGGCCCGGAACCGGGGGUGCCGGCCCCCCCCGGGGGGACCGGCCCCGGGACCGGUCACCCGGCCCCGGGUUCGGCCGCCCGGCCCGGGGUC